rnacentral:rRNA from 1 species
GACGAACCGUACGAACGUUAUUCGGAAUCACUGGGCUUAAAGGGUGCGUAGGCGGCGCUGAAAGUAGGGUGUGAAAUCCCUCGGCUCAACCGAGGAACUGCGCUCUAAACUACAGUGCUUGAGGGAGACAGAGGUGAGCGGAACUUAGGGUGGAGCGGUGAAAUGCGUUGAUAUCCUAAGGAACACCCGUGGCGAAAGCGGCUCACUGGGUCUCUUCUGACGCUGAGGCACGAAAGCCAGGGUAGCGAAC